rnacentral:misc_RNA from 1 species
CAGGCAUAAGCAUUCAUAUCAGGGAAGAGAUCAUGUGGAAAGAAAUAAUUCUUACAUUAUAUUAAACUACUAAUAAACCAGACUAAUGAAUAGUUUAACAAACCACACAAACAGAAAUGGGAAAUAGAAAAAUUCCAUUGCACAAUGCAUUACCAUAUACUUGAGGUUCAUAUAGCUGUCUAUUGGCAAAAAUGGAACAAUAAAACAGCUAAAAUAAGGUUCAAACAAAAUCCAACAAAAAGUCAUGGGGGAACAAUCCUAAAUCGAUUUUCCCUCUAGAAGACAAGCUCAUGAGGCUUCAUUCCCGCCUUAAGAGAAAAUCUAGCUCCUAAAUAAGCCUUCAAGUCUGGAACCCCCUCAAUUGAUUUAAUCAGUGAUGCAUCCACAGUUUUCUGAUCAUCCUUCUUCUCCUGUGGAAGUACAUUCUUUUCCUGAAAAGAUUAGGACGACAACCAAUGUCAGGAUAGUGCAAUGAAACACAUAGGGUAAACAAACACUUAGGAAAUGUGAGAUAAAUAAACAAGCCAACCUCUUUCUCAGACUCAAAGAACUCGCCCUCUCCCUUCUUUUUCUUCUUCUCAGCUUGCUUGGCAAAGUAUUUGUCAUCAAACUUAUCAACAUUAAUUCCAGAGACAUCAACCUUGGUGGAAGUUGCAAUGACAUAAGAUUGGUUCACUCUCCUCAAAGGGACACCAUUGAUCUUAAAUGGUCCUGAAGCAGGCAGCAACAUAUAUCAACUAAUGAAGCAUAUGUCAACAAUCUUCCUGUUUUCAGGUAGAGCUUGGGCAUACGGCGCUCAAGCCCUCCCAUGAGAAGCAGGUAAAAAUAAAACCAAACUCUAUAAUGCUUCGAGCCUUCAAGUCAUAAAAGCUUGGCUCAUUAGCUAAACUGAGUUUCCUGAGGCAGGUUAAAUUCUUCCAACAUAGAAUUAUCAUUUGGUUUUGCUAUAAAGAUCACCCAAAUUAUACAAUAGCACCAAAGCAACACAUGCUCACCAGUGACCAAGAGCAAUCCAGAGGAAAGCUGCUUCAGGAACACGACCCUCUUACCCUUGAACCUUCCAGCAAGAAUUAUCAAAACAGUUCCUGGAGUAAUGCUAGCCCUGCAGGAAAAACAACAAAGACAAUUAGAUAUCAGUCGCUAAAUUAGAUUACAUCCACUUUAUGAGGAGAUGGAGAACCAAUACCCUCUGAAACAAAUAAAAAAGGCAUUGAACCAUAACCAUUUUCUCUAACUUUACCAGCAUCCUCUUAAUAUAACCAAACACAUGCUCGAUCACAAAUAACAGAAACCAGAGACUCAUUUCAACGACAACAAAUAACAACUAAGCCUUAAUCCCA